rnacentral:rRNA from 1 species
ACCUGCCGAAAGGCAGACUAAUACCGCAUGUUCUUCGAUUACGGCAUCAGAUUCGAAGCAAAGAUCCGUCGGUAACGGAGGGGGAUGCGUCUGAUUAGCUAGUUGGCGGGGCGACGGCCCACCAAGGCGACGAUCAGUAGGGGUUCUGAGAGGAAGGUCCCCCACAUUGGAACUGAGACACGGUCCAA